UACGUAGGUGGCAAGCGUUGUCCGGAUUUACUGGGUGUAAAGGGCGUGUAGCCGGGCUUACAAGUCAGAUGUGAAAUCCGGGGGCUCAACCCCCGAACUGCAUUUGAAGCUGUAGGUCUUGAGUAUCGGAGAGGCAGGCGGAAUUCCUAGUGUAGCGGUGAAAUGCGUAGAUAUUAGGAGGAACACCAGUGGCGAAGGCGGCCUGCUGGACGACAACUGACGGUGAGGCGCGAAAGCGUGGGGAGCAAACAGG
rnacentral:rRNA from 1 species